rnacentral:rRNA from 1 species
GAUGAACGCUGGCGGCGUGCCUAAUACAUGCCAGUCGAGCGAACAGACGAGGAGCUUGCUCCUCUGACGUUAGCGGCGGACGGGUGAGUAACACGUGGAUAACCUACCUAUAAGACUGGGAUAACUUCGGGAAACCGGAGCUAAUACCGGAUAAUAUAUUGAACCGCAUGGUUCAAUAGUGAAAGACGGUUUUGCUGUCACUUAUAGAUGGAUCCGCGCCGCAUUAGCUAGUUGGUAAGGUAACGGCUUACCAAGGCGACGAUGCGUAGCCGACCUGAGAGGGUGAUCGGCCACACUGGAACUGAGACACGGUCCAGACUCCUACGGGAGGCAGCAGUAGGGAAUCUUCCGCAAUGGGCGAAAGCUUGACGGAGCAACGCCGCGUGAGUGAUGAAGGUCUUCGGAUCGUAAAACUCUGUUAUUAGGGAAGAACAAAUGUGUAAGUAACUAUGCACGUCUUGACGGUACCUAAUCAGAAAGCCACGGCUAACUACGUG